rnacentral:rRNA from 1 species
UUAUACCGUGAAACUGCGAAUGGCUCAUUAAAUCAGUUAUCGUUUAUUUGAUAGUACCUUACUACUUGGAUACCCGUGGUAAUUCUAGAGCUAAUACAUGCAAAAAACCCCGACUUCUGAAGGGGUGUAUUUAUUAGAUAAAAAACCAAUGCCCUUCGGGGCUCUUUGGUGAUUCAUAAUAACUUAACGGAUCGCAUGGCCUUGCGCUGGCGACGGUUCAUUCAAAUUUCUGCCCUAUCAACUUUCGAUGGUAAGGUAUUGGCUUACCAUGGUUUCAACGGGUAACGGGUUUUUAGGGAAAGACUCCGGAGAGGCAGCCUGAGAAACGGCUACCACAUCCAAGGAAGGCAGCAGGCGCGCAAAUUACCCAAUCCUGAUACAGGGAGGUAGUGACAAUAAAUACUGAUACAGGGCUCUUUUGGGUCUUGUAAUCGGAAUGAGUACAAUUUAAAUACCUUAACGAGGAACAAUUGGAGGGCAAGUCUGGUGCCAGCAGCCGCGGUAAUUCCAGCUCCAAUAGCGUAUAUUAAAGUUGUUGCAGUUAAAAAGCUCGUAGUUGAACCUUGGGCCUGGCUGAUCGGUCCGCCUCACCGCGUGUACUGGUUCGGCUGGGCCUUUCCUUCUGGAGAACCGCAUGCCCUUCACUGGGUGUGUCGGGGAACCAGGACUUUUACUUUGAGAAAAUUAGAGUGUUCAAAGCAGGCCUUUGCUCGAAUACGUUAGCAUGGAAUAAUAGAAUAGGACGUGCGGUCCUAUUUUGUUGGUUUCUAGAACCGCCGUAAUGAUUAAUAGGGAUAGUCGGGGGCGUCAGUAUUCAAUUGUCAGAGGUGAAAUUCUUGGAUCUAUUGAAGACUAACUACUGCGAAAGCAUUCGCCAAGGAUGUUUUCAUUAAUCAGUGAACGAAAGUUAGGGGAUCGAAGACGAUCAGAUACCGUCGUAGUCUUAACCGUAAACUAUGCCGACUAGGGAUCGGGCGAUGUUUCUUUCUUGACUCGCUCGGCACCUUACGAGAAAUCAUAAGUUUUUGGGUUCUGGGGGGAGUAUGGUCGCAAGGCUGAA